rnacentral:rRNA from 1 species
UGACGCUGGCGGCAUGCCUAACACAUGCAAGUCGAACGAAGGCUUCGGCCUUAGUGGCGCACGGGUGCGUAACGCGUGGGAAUCUGCCCUCAGGUUCGGAAUAACAGCGAGAAAUUCGCUGCUAAUACCGGAUGAUAUCGCGAGAUCAAAGAUUUAUCGCCUGAGGAUGAGCCCGCGUAGGAUUAGCUAGUUGGUGUGGUAAAGGCGCACCAAGGCGACGAUCCUUAGCUGGUCUGAGAGGAUGAUCAGCCACACUGGGACUGAGACACGGCCCAGACUCCUACGGGAGGCAGCAGUGGGGAAUAUUGGACAAUGGGCGAAAGCCUGAUCCAGCAAUGCCGCGUGAGUGAUGAAGGCCUUAGGGUUGUAAAGCUCUUUUACCCGGGAUGAUAAUGACAGUACCGGGAGAAUAAGCUCCGGCUAACUCCGUGCCAGCAGCCGCGGUAAUACGGAGGGAGCUAGCGUUUAUUCGGAAUUACUGGGCGUAAAGCCGCACGUAGGCCGCUUUGUAAGUUUAGAAGGUGAAAGCCUGGAACUCAACUCCCGAAUUGGCUUUUAAAACGGCUCGCUUGGAUCCCGGGAGAGGGGAGUGGAAAUUCCAGUGGAAGAAGGGAAAUUCCCGAAAAUUUUCCGAAGAACCCCCAUGGGCGAAGGCGCGGCUUCAUGGGACUGGGUAUAUGAG